AUUGAACGCUGGCGGCAGGCCUAACACAUGCAAGUCGAACGAGUGGCGGACGGGUGAGUAAUGUCUGGGAAACUGCCUGAUGGAGGGGGAUAACUACUGGAAACGGUAGCUAAUACCGCCUACCAUCGGAUGUGCCCAGAUGGGAUUAGCUAGUAGGGGGGGAAAAGGCUCACCUAGGCGACGAUCCCUAGCUGGUCUGAGAGGAUGACCAGCAACACUGGAACUGAGACAGGGGCCAGACUCCUACGUGAGGCAGCAGUGGGGAAUAUUGCACAAUGGGCGCAAGCCGGAUGCAGCCAUGCCGCGUGUAUGAAGAAGGCCUUCGGGGUGUAAAGUACUUUCAGCGGGGAGGCGUUACCCGCAGAAGAAGCACCGGCAAACUCCGUGCCAGGCGCCGCGGUAAUUC
rnacentral:rRNA from 1 species